UCUUUCAUCUGAAGGUAAGUUUAUAUCAUUACGUUCAUUUUACUACAAGCUCUAUCGAAUAAUUACUAUGAGUCAUAUAUGGGACACUAUGCAUUUAAGUUUUUGGUGGUUUUAGAUGGAUGUAAAGCUAUUUUAUGGAAAUAACAGAUAUGUUCGAGACAUACCAGUUGAUAAUGAUAGUGAGGAUAUAAUAAUACCUGAAACAGAUACAGACUAAUAGUACAGACUAAUAAGUAGCGAGGAAAACAUUCCUCUAAAGAAACUGGCAGAAAAACUAAAUCCAGGCAUCUGGAGGACAGGAAACCUUACAAAAAAUCCGGAUGAGAUAAAGUUUUCGGGGGCUCAAAAUAUGCCACAGGAAGUUAUUGAUUUAGAAACUCCGUAUCAGUUUUUUAAGGUUCUAUUUACAAAA